UUUUUUUUUUUUUUGUUUCUUUAACCGCUUAUUUAUUUCGUACUGAACCUAAAAGCCCUAAUUAAUUUCCAGUACCUUCAGAAAAUGUUUGUUCCUUCAUGAAAUGGUGUGUUGAUGGUUUGGAUUUUGAGCGGCUUUAUGGUUUUUGAUGCUCCGGAUCUGGCCUCGUUUCGGUCGUCUUCAUCAUUAUAUUAUCUCUCUCUCUCUUCACUCUCGUCUCUCUGCGGAUUUCUAUAUGUAUACGUUUGUCUCCAUUACGCUUGUGAAAGAUUAUUUACUGAAAAUUAUUUGUUUAUCGUUCUUGAUGGUGUUUUACUCUAUAGGUAAUCGUCCCUGGGACUUGGAAUUUGACAGAAGAGAGUGAGCACCCAGAGGCACUUGGUAUAAAGUGUAUACUAAUGCUUUUGCGUGCUCACUUCUCUCUCUGUCAGAUUCGAUAGAUGGAUCGGGCUCCGUAAUUUUUUGCCAUCGGUUUGCCGUUUUAGUUUCACAUUCUUUUAUGGACUUAGAAUUGUAUGUGUCUCUCAUCCAGUGAAUCGGAUUUGCAGUUUUUUAGAGCGUGGCUUUUCAUGUUGCUCACUGACCGGAGUUAUCGGCACGACCAUGAAAAUACCGUACAACGGGACCUCUCUCAAUGUAGAUAUAGGUGUGAGGAAAAUACAAAGACGUAUGUGUUUAAUUGAGCAGUUGUUCGCUUUAACAGGCUUCAUUCUCUUUCUGCGAGUUAAUGCUCGGGAAUUUCCUUAUUAUCCGAUGUUUACUGGGCAUAUGGAGGUGACGUUUUUGCGUAAUAAUGUUCAUUUCCGUUUUUGCGCAAUUAUUAUUGAUAGGACGUUGGAGAAAAUGCUACAUUAUAGGGGUCAUAAUUUUCACGCCGAUCAACGGAAUUUAUUGUGUAGGUAUCACUGUCUUGAUUUCUUUUACCUUGCAUUUGUAACUGCCGCUUCUGCUGUUGAUGCUGUGAAGAAUAUCUCGAAUUUAUUGCAAUGUUUUAAAGCUAGGAUUAUUAUAAAUAUAUGAUCUCGAAUAAAGCUAAUCAGUACGUGCCUUUCUAUUAGAUCUUAAAUGCAAUUGUGCUUUUCAAAACUUUUCUAGCCAAACCUAUGUUGCCCUCCUAAGUGGUAUAUUAAUAAUUUCAUGGAAUUCUUCUAAAUUAGUUGAGUUUUCAAGUUUAUGGAGGAGAGUAUCAUUUUCUUAAUAAUCAAUAACAAAAUGAAUAAAAGUGAAAUAUUGAUUUUCAACAUGGGUUAGUGAUAAAGGAGCCUUUCACCUUGCUAGUUGAAGUUGAUAGAAAUUAAUUGUGUUGAUUUUUAAAUAAUUUUAAUUUCUUUAUUUUGAAAUGUUCCUUCGUUAUCUAUGAGUGGUAUCUUAUUUGUUUUCCAUAAUUUUCCAUAAAAAGAGUAUCAGUCUGUGUGUACUAUAGUUUUACACUUUAGAGAUUGCCUUUUAGUUUUGUCAUUCCGCGUGUGUGUAGUGUAGAUAUUGUUUGUACAUAUAUUGUGUUGUGUGCCAGGUUACACAUUCUUGCAUCAUGCGUGCAUACAAGGGUAUAACAUCAAUUAUAAGUGUCGCUUGCUAAACUUGGAACAUCUAUACUGGUUUUUAUUUAGUUCAUGGUUCCAUUUUUUGUUCCUUGAAUAACUUGAUUACUUUUGACAUUCAUGCCGAGUUCAUCAAUUUGUAUGAACCUAUCUUCUGUCAAUUGUUUGCCAUUAGAGUCGAACCGUGCCCAUCUUUGUUGCUUUUGCAUAUUCAGAUGUUGCACAUGUUUUGGCACGAAAGUAGCGAUGCAUGUUGACACUUUUUUCACACUUCACACUACCCUUCUUGAUACUGAAAGGCCCUUCCUUGCCUUUUAAACUUUUUCCGAAUAAUUUAAUGUUGAAUAGCUAUAUAAUAUGAUGUCUCCCCCCUUUGCUUUCAGCCAAAAUUCUCAUCUUUCUGAGGUUUAAUACCCUUCUAAUUUGCUAUUAUUGUGGACUAUCAAUGAACCUUUCACCGUUGAUCGAUGGACUAACGCACCAACUCGAAGAUAAUGGAAUCGGAAACUUGAGAUAAGUGGAAGGAAGACCUUGAGAAAGCUUUAACAGUGCAGGUCCUGAGUUUUGCUAUUUGUUAAUGGACGGGCAGGACGAAACUUAGCUGGUUGGGUUCCCUUGUGGCGAUCAGAUCUCUUCAAUAUCUUAUGGCAAUUCCAAGAAAGUCUACGGUCUGUAGUAUAGACGCACACGAAGACUAAAUUCAAACUUUCCAUAUUACAAAAUAAACAUUGAAUUUUGGAUAUCCAAACAUUGGAAGUUUAAGAAUGAGUGCUGUUGUGAACCCAGUCAACAUUCAACGAACCUUUUAUAUUAUUUCAUGAAUAUUGGUCAACAAUUAUUACUUGUAAAAAUCUGUUGGUGAAUUUUGAUUAUAAUUCAAGUACAAUUUCUUGGUCUUUAAUUUGUGUGUUCCAGUUUUGGGUUAAAUCCAGACGUUGUGAUGACAUGCCCAGCUUAGUUCAUGGUAAUGACGUCAUCAUUCCAUCUCAUAAGUUUUAUGGCUUUUUUGAACGACUCAUUGGGUCUUUUUCUUGGUCUUUUUUUUUUCCCCCUUGUAGUUUGUUCUUCCUAUGCUACCUCCCCCUCGUCUACCUACAUUCGGACACUCAAUUUCAAACCUCUUGUUCUUUAUUAUAUUGUUCAACUAUGUCGUGGGUUGGUAUUUUGAUGUCGUCAUUAUUGCCUCAUUAUUGUGACAUCAGUUCUUUGUGUAGUUUCUUCCUCUUGUAAAUAAGAGUAUUAAUUACAUUACAAAUAAUUUAGAUUGAUAGUACGAUUAACAGAUUUGAUUAUGAGUUGGGGUUGAGAA